GAUGAACGCUGGCGGCGUGCCUAAUACAUGCAAGUCGAGCGAACGGACGAGAAGCUUGCUUCUCUGAUGUUAGCGGCGGACGGGUGAGUAACACGUGGAUAACCUACCUAUAAGACUGGGAUAACUUCGGGAAACCGUAGCUAACUCGGGAUAAUAUUUUGAACCGCAUGGUUCAAAAGUGAAAGACGGUGUUGCUGUCACUUAUAGAUGGAUCCGCGCUGCAUUAGCUAGUUGGUAAGGUAACGGCUUACCAAGGCAACGAUGCAUAGCCGACCUGAGAGAGUGAUCGGCCACACUGGAACUGAGACACGGUCCAGACUCCUACGGGAGGCAGCAGUAGGGAAUCUUCCGCAGUGGGCGAAAGCCUGACGGAGCAACGCCGCGUGAGUGAUGAAGGUCUUCGGAUCGUAAAACUCUGUUAUUAGGUAAGAACAUAUGUGUAAGUAACUGUGCACAUCUUGACGGUACCUAAUCAGAAAGCCACGGCUAACUACGUG
rnacentral:rRNA from 1 species